rnacentral:sRNA from 1 species
GGUUCUUCACUGUCCACUCCCCAUAGAUGAGAGGUUCCCCUUCCAAGCCUCCGUGGAGUUUGUCUUCUCCUCCAGCCCCGAGAAGAUCAAAGGUAAGAGCAGGGACAUGGGCUGGGGACUGAGGGCCGCCUCUCCCCUGCUCCCCAAUACUCGAGUGGCCUUCCACAGGCAGCACUCCACGGAACGACCCCUCAGUCUCUGUCGACUACAACACCACUGAGCCAGCCGUGCGCUGGGACUCCUAUGAGAACUUCAACCAGCACCACGAGGACAGUGUGGAUGGCUCCUUGACCCACACCCGGGGUCCCCUGGAUGGCAGUCCUUAUGCCCAGGUGCAGCGGCCUCCCCGGCAGACCCCCCCGGCACCCUCUCCAGAGCCUCCACCACCCCCCAUGCUCUCUGUCAGCAGCGACUCAGGCCAUUCCUCCACACUGACCACAGAGCCGGCUGCUGAGUCCCCUGGCCGGCCGCCCCCUACAGCUGCUGAACGGCAGGAGCUGGAUCGCCUCCUAGGAGGCUGCGGAGUGGCCAGUGGGGGCCGGGGAGCUGGGCGCGAGACGGCCAUCCUAGAUGACGAAGAGCAGCCCACUGUGGGCGGAGGCCCCCACCUCGGAGUGU